CCCUGCGCUCCUGCUCGCAGCAGCCUCGGUGGGCUGCAGAAUGGGAGUGCUCCGAAAGGCACUGGUGUGUUCCUCUCAAUGUUCUGCUCAUUUCCAUGGAUCCCUAAAUUAGACCUUGAAAGCAGCGGAAGUUGCCGGGCAGCCAAGGAGUGAGAACACCGCAGAACCCACUGUGUAAUCCCAGCCAGGGCUCUCUGAGGGCCAAGGAAAUGAAGUCUGAGAUGCCCCUGCCUCCUUGUGCCCCCCUUCGGUGCAGGAGCAAGAGUCCCGUCAGCAUGCCCAGGGCCCUGGGCCAUCUGUGGGGACUGAACAAGGACUCCCAGCCAGCAGGAGGAUGCCACAGGAUGGCUGAGCCACCCCCACGAAGGCCCCAUCCUGGGACUCCACCACUGACCUUAGGCCCAGCAGCUAGCCAGUCUCUGGACAUGACUUCUGUGCAUCUGGGAGGUACUGGUGUCAUUGAAGAUGUACUUGCAGCAAAGAUGAUUUCUGGCUUUUGCAGAGAUGCACUAUUAGCAGGACCAGACUGGAUGAUCCUUUUUGUGGCCAGUCUCCUGAGGAGAGCAUGCCCAGUGUGAUGAACACGGGAGAGGGCCGUUUCCUCCCUGCUGACGUAGCGGAGGGUCUGGGUAGAGAGGAGAUGCAGGAGAGCCUUCCCAGUGUUUGCUGAAUAAACAUUGAAUCAA